rnacentral:rRNA from 1 species
CCUGGCGGCACUAGCGCGGUGGUCCCACCUGACCCCAUGCCGAACUCAGAAGUGAAACCCCCUAGCGCCGAUGGUAGUGUGGGGUCUCCCCAUGUGAGAGUAGGGAACUGCCAGGC